rnacentral:rRNA from 1 species
UGUGUAGGCGGUUUGGUUAAGUCUGGUGUGAAAUCUCCCGGCUCAACUGGGAGGGUGCGCCGGAAACUGCCGGACUCGAGUGCGGGAGAGGAGAGUGGAAUUCCUGGUGUAGCGGUGAAAUGCGUAGAUAUCAGGAGGAACACCGGCGGUGUAGACGGCUCUCUGGACCGUAACUGACGCUGAAACACGAAAGCGUGGGUAGCAAACAGGAUUAGAUACCCUGGUAGUCCACGCCCUAAACGAUGCAUAUUUGGUGUGGGUCAUUCAGUUGAUCCGUGCCGGAGCUAACGCGUUAAAUAUGCCGCCUGGGGAGUACAGUCGCAAGGCUGAA